GAUGAACGCUGGCGGCGUGCUUAACACAUGCAAGUCGAACGGUGAAGGCGGAGCUUGCUCUGCUGGAUCAGUGGCGAACGGGUGAGUAACACGUGAGCAAUCUGCCCCUGACUCUGGGAUAAGCGCUGGAAACGGCGUCUAAUACUGGAUACGAGCUGCGAAGGCAUCUUCAGCAGCUGGAAAGAACUUCGGUCAGGGAUGAGCUCGCGGCCUAUCAGCUUGUUGGUGAGGUAACGGCUCACCAAGGCGUCGACGGGUAGCCGGCCUGAGAGGGUGACCGGCCACACUGGGACUGAGACACGGCCCAGACUCCUACGGGAGGCAGCAGUGGGGAAUAUUGCACAAUGGGCGAAAGCCUGAUGCAGCAACGCCGCGUGAGGGACGACGGCCUUCGGGUUGUAAACCUCUUUUAGCAGGGAAGAAGCGAAAGUGACGGGACCUGCAGAAAAAGCGCCGGCUAACUACGU
rnacentral:rRNA from 1 species